GAUGAACGCUGGCGGCGUGCCUAAUACAUGCAAGUCGAGCGAACAGACGAGGAGCUUGCUCCUCUGACGUUAGCGGCGGACGGGUGAGUAACACGUGGAUAACCUACCUAUAAGACUGGGAUAACUUCGGGAAACCGGAGCUAAUACCGGAUAAUAUAUUGAACCGCAUGGUUCAAUAGUGAAAGACGGUUUUGCUGUCACUUAUAGAUGGAUCCGCGCCGCAUUAGCUAGUUGGUAAGGUAACGGCUUACCAAGGCAACGAUGCGUAGCCGACCUGAGAGGGGGAUCGGCCACACUGGAGCUGAGACGCGGUCCAGACUCCUACGGGAGGGAGCAGUAGGGUACCGUCCGCAAUAGGCGGAAGCCUGGCGGAGCAACGCCGCGUGAGUGAUGGAGGUCUUCGGAUCGUAAAACUCUGUUAUUAGGGAAGAACAAAUGUGUAAGUAACUAUGCACGUCUUGACGGUACCUAAUCAGAAAGCCACGGCUAACUACGUG
rnacentral:rRNA from 1 species